rnacentral:rRNA from 1 species
GCUAGCCGGUGACGGUGCGCGAAUCCCAAAAAUAACGUCUCAGUUCGGAUUGUAGUCUGCAACUCGACUACAUGAAGCUGGAAUCGCUAGUAAUCGCGGAUCAGAAUGCCGCGGUGAAUACGUUCCCGGGUCUUGUACACACCACCCGUCACACCAUGGGAGUCGGAAAUGCCCGAAGUCUGUGACCGAACCGAAAGGAAGGAGCAGCCGAAGGCAGGUCGGAUGACUGGGGUGAAGUCGUAACAAGGUACC